CUGGUGUAGCGCAGGUGGAAACCCUUCUUGUUGAUGGUGUCGUCCGAGUGGAAGUGCAGCAGCACCGCAUCUCCGGCUGAGUACAGCGGCUCGGGGGCCCCGGAGCCGCAGUAGCGGCCGAUGGGCGGCGCGGUGCCGUCGGCGCCAUCGAAGAGCUCCAGGAAAUCGUAGCCGCAGUCCGCCUCCUCCUCCACCUCGAAGGCCUGGAAGAUCAGCUCCACCCCAUAGCCCUCCUCGGCCAGCAGCACCCAGCGGCAGUCGCUGCCCCCCGGAUAUGGGGCGUCCCCAAACUGCGCGUGGGAGAACAGCUCCUGCGUGCGCAGCGCGGCGCGGAGGUGACCGCCACACACGGAGGAGUGCGUGGCCUCGAAGCCCUUCUUCUGCACGGAGCCGUCGGCCACGAAGCGCACAAACAUCGCGCUGCCCGACGACAGCACCGCGCCGGGGGGGGCGGAGCCGCAGAAGCGGCCGAGCAGAGGGCCGCAGCGUCCGCCCCGUCGUGCACCGCCACGUGGUCGGAAGCGCAGUCCUCAUCGGCCGCCACGUCCACAGCAGCGAACGUCAGGCUGACGCGGUGCCCCGCGGCGGUGCGGAUGCUCCACGUGCACUCCUUCCUGCCGCGGUGUCCGCCGGGCCAAUCGGGGCUGCGGAUGGUGCCCAGCGCCGCCCUCACUCUGUGCUCACAGCCGGCCUCCUUGCAGUCGUGCAUGUUGUCGUGCAGCACGAAGCCGCUGCGGCAGCGGCACUCAUAGCUGC
rnacentral:lncRNA from 1 species